GGUUAUUAAUCAAAAUUAUUGUAUAAGGUAGUCAAUAGAAUCUAGGUUAAAACAACAGAUGGGGGGUUUGUGGAGUGUUUAAUUGUCAUGGGCAUUUUUAGUAGCAUAGGCCCUUUGCUCUGCAUUUGAAUGUUUCAUAUAUUUUUGUUCCACAAUUAAUCUUCCCUCCCCAGGUUUGUUAUUCAACUCUAAUGCCUGAAUGACAUUUUCUAGUAGUUUGACCUAUUUUUUGAGGAAUAGUUUGUGAUUCCAAUGCAGGUGUCUUCAUUACUGUUACCUCUAUAUUGGGGGAAUAGACGAAUUGCCAUUUGACAACUGUGACCAGGUAGUCUGGACCUUAGAGUCAGAUCAGCCAGUGGCCUAAAGCCAUUUCAAGUACAGAAGCUGUUUGGGGACUACAUUUAUAUAAAUUUGAACAUUAAGUAUAAUUUUUCCUCUUUUUCUUUUUAAUAUUUGUAAACUCAGAGCUAAAAAGUGAUUUUACUUUCUAAAGUUUGAUAUUAAGUUGACUGUGUUCCUUCCCUUACCGCCUCAUUGUUCCCC
rnacentral:lncRNA from 1 species